rnacentral:lncRNA from 1 species
CCUAGCGUUUUGCCUUCUGCUACUCUCGUAGUUCGAUGGUGAAAUCAGAGAUUCCAAGUAUAACGUCUCUCUUUCUAUUCUAAAUCUAAACCUUAUGUUUCUCUGUGAUUGUGUAAAGGUUCUAGUAAGUUGAUUGCUUGGAAAAAGGAUGCAAUCUGUUCAUUCAGUUUUAUUGUUUGAAGAAAGGAAGCACUUAGUUCAAUAUGGAACUUUGAGUGAGAUGAUACUACAAGAGCUACUAGGGACGUGAAUGCGCAAAGAGACAACCCAACUGUAACAUGAGCCCUUUUUAUUGGACUAGCUGAUAUUUAGAUGUAGAUCAUGGUUAUUAAAAAAAAGCUAGUUAGUGUGCUUUUGUAAGGGAUACUGAGCGUUCUGGAAUAACUAAGCAUGCCACAUCAGCCUAAUAACAAGUGAAACACUGCGUCGCCUAGUUAUUGGGGGCGCCAUUCAAUAUCUCGUCAUUCAGUUAACAAUGGGCAAAGGAAAAAAGAUGGGGUCCAUGCCUUUUUCAACAAUCACAUGCCUUUUUUCUUUACUUAUUGGUAUUGGGUGUUUAGUUAUUCCACUAUACCUAGUUAUUGGAUGUUUAGUUAUUGCUCAGAUUUUUACAUGGCAAUGACAUGACGAUGAUAUGGCACUGGUUUAGUUAUUCCACAAUAAAUAGUCUAAUAAUCUAUUAGGCUUUAU